UGCUUAAAAAAAACCCAAAAAUCAACCCACUGAUCACCUUUGGAGGAGUCCAGAGAACCGAUUUAUUAUUCUGAAAACUAGGAAACAAAGGGAAAGAAUAAAACGUGUCUACUGUCUUUCUUGAAGAGCUACAGGCUGGCUCCGGACCCACCUGGUCAGGCUCAGGCCUGGGGGGAAGAAGGAAAAAAGUCACAGCAUUCAACAAGGCUCAGCUGUAAUCUGGGGUCGAUGCCCUCUGCUUGUGGCAGAAGCAAACUGAUUUGCAUACUGGCCCUCAGGGGAAGAGUCAAGGUGGCUGUGGCCUUUUUUUGACAGCCAGAAGAAUGAAGUCUAAUGGUGAGCCAUGCUGCUUGAGGCAGAGGAAAAAGUCCUGACCUGAGUCACAAGUACUGGGAUGGAAUCCAGCUCUGCAUUCUGACACUGAGCAAGAUAAUCCUGAGCCUUCAUCACUG